rnacentral:tRNA from 1 species
UUAGGCUUAGUUUAUGAUGAGAAUAGUUAAUUGCAGAUUAAUAAGGAAAUAAUUUUUUUUUAGUUUAAU